AAAUUUGAGAGUUUGAUCCUAGCUCAGAAUGAACGCUGGCGGCAGGCCUAACACAUGCAAGUCGAACGGAGUUAUAUUGUAGCUUGCUAUGGUAUAACUUAGUGGCAGACGGGUGAGUAAUGUAUAGGAAUCUACCUAGUAGUACGGAAUAAUUGUUGGAAACGGCAACUAAUACCGUAUACGCCCUACGGGGGAAAAAUUUAUUGCUAUUAGAUGAGCCUAUAUUAGAUUAGCUAGUUGGUGGAGUAAUAGCCUACCAAGGCAAUGAUCUAUAGCUGAUCUGAGAGGAUGAUCAGCCACACUGGAACUGAGAUACGGUCCAGACUCCUACGGGAGGCAGCAGUGGGGAAUAUUGGACAAUGGGCGAAAGCCUGAUCCAGCCAUGCCGCAUGAGUGAAGAAGGCCUUUGGGUUGUAAAGCUCUUUUAGUGAGGAAGAUAAUGACGGUACUCACAGAAGAAGUCCUGGCUAACUCCGUGCCAGCAGCCGCGGUAAUACGGAGAGGGCUAGCGUUAUUCGGAAUUAUUGGGCGUAAAGGGCGCGUAGGCGGAUUAGUAAGUUAAAAGUGAAAUCCCAAGGCUCAACCUUGGAAUUGCUUUUAAAACUGCUAAUCUAGAGAUUGAAAGAGGAUAGAGGAAUUCCUAGUGUAGAGGUGAAAUUCGUAAAUAUUAGGAGGAACACCAGUGGCGAAGGC
rnacentral:rRNA from 1 species